GAUGAACGCUAGCGGGAGGCCUAACACAUGCAAGCCGAGCGGUAUUGUUUCUUCGGAAAUGAGAGAGCGGCGUACGGGUGCGGAACACGUGUGCAACCUGCCUUUAUCUGGGGGAUAGCCUUUCGAAAGGAAGAUUAAUACUCCAUAAUAUAUUGAACGGCAUCGUUUAAUAUUGAAAGCUCCGGCGGAUAGAGAUGGGCACGCGCAAGAUUAGCUAGUUGGUGAGGUAACGGCUCACCAAGGCGAUGAUCUUUAGGGGGCCUGAGAGGGUGAUCCCCCACACUGGUACUGAGACACGGACCAGACUCCUACGGGAGGCAGCAGUGAGGAAUAUUGGUCAAUGGGUGCAAGCCUGAACCAGCCAUCCCGCGUGAAGGACGACUGCCCUAUGGGUUGUAAACUUCUUUUGUAUAGGGAUAAACCUACCCUCGUGAGGGUAGCUGAAGGUACUAUACGAAUAAGCACCGGCUAACUCCGUGCCAGCAGCCGCGGUAAUACGGAGGGUGCAAGCGUUAUCCGGAUUUAUUGGGUUUAAAGGGUCCGUAGGCGGACUUAUAAGUCAGUGGUGAAAGCCUGUCGCUUAACGAUAGAACUGCCAUUGAUACUGUAAGUCUUGAGUAUAUUUGAGGUAGCUGGAAUAAGUAGUGUAGCGGUGAAAUGCAUAGAUAUUACUUAGAACACCAAUUGCGAAGGCAGGUUACCAAGAUAUAACUGACGCUGAGGGACGAAAGCGUGGGGAGCGAACAGGAUUAGAUACCCUGGUAGUCCACGCCGUAAACGAUGCUAACUCGUUUUUGGGCUUUAGGGUUCAGAGACCAAGCGAAAGUGAUAAGUUAGCCACCUGGGGAGUACGCUCGCAAGAGUGAAACUCAAAGAAAUUGACGGGGGCCCGCACAAGCGGUGGAUUAUGUGGUUUAAUUCGAUGAUACGCGAGGAACCUUACCGAGACUUAAAUGGGAAUUGACAGCUUUAGAAAUAGAGCUUUCUUCGGACAAUUUUCAAGGUGCUGCAUGGUUGUCGUCAGCUCAUGCCGUGAGGUGUUAGGUUAAGUCCUGCAACGAGCGCAACCCCUGUCACUAGUUGCCAUCAUUCAGUUGGGGACUCUAGUGAGACUGCCUACGCAAGUAGAGAGGAAGGUGGGGAUGACGUCAAAUCAUCACGGCCCUUACGUCUUGGGCCACACACGUAAUACAAUGGCCGGUACAGAGGGCAGCUACACAGCGAUGUGAUGCAAAUCUCGAAAGCCGGUCUCAGUUCGGAUUGGAGUCUGCAACUCGACUCUAUGAAGCUGGAAUCGCUAGUAAUCGCGCAUCAGCCAUGGCGCGGUGAAUACGUUCCCGGGCCU
rnacentral:rRNA from 1 species